rnacentral:rRNA from 1 species
GGUAGUAGCAAAUAUUAAAAUGGGGACUUUGAAAGCCGAAGAGGAGAAAUAUUCCGUGUGAAUGGCACUUGCACAUUAGUUUGUCAAUCCUAAGGGUCGGGGAAAGCCUGAUAGACAGUGCGUUUCGCGAGUGCACCGAAAAUGAAUCGGGUUAAAAUUCCUGAACCGGGAUGCGACAAUUGAUGGCAACGUUAGGGAGUCUGGAGACAGCGGCGGGGGCCUCAGGAAUAGUUAUCUUUUUGUUUAAUAGCCUGCAAACCCUGGAAAUAGCUUAGCUGGAGGAAGGGUCCAAUGGCUGGAAGAGCACCGCACGCCUCAUGGUGUUCGGUGGACCCCCGACGGCCUUGAAAAUCUGGAGGACCGAGUACCGUCUGCGCCCGGUCGUACUCAUAACCUCAUCAGGUCUCCAAGGUGGACAGUCUCUAGUCAAUGGAACAAUGAGGGCAAGGAAAGUCAGCAAAAUGGAUCCGUAACUCGAGAAAAGGAUUGGCUCUGAGGGCUGGGCACGGGGGUCCCAGUCUCGAACUCGUCGGCUAUCAGUGGACUGCUAGAAUUUCUCCCACGGUGAGAGCGGGUGGUCGCGUGUCUACCGGGGAUGGACUGGGAACGACUCCUUCUGGGGCCUUCCUCGAGCGUCGAACAGUUGACUCAGAACUAGUACAGACAAGGAAAAUCUGAUAGUUUAAUUAAAACAAAGCAUUGCGAUGGUCCCUGUGGAUGCUCACGCAAUGUGAUUUCUGCCCAGUGCUCUGAAUGUCAAAGUGAAGAAAUUCAACCAAGUGCGGGUAAAUGGCAGGAGUAACUAUGACUCUCUUAAGGUAGCCAAAUGCCUCGUCAUCUAAUUAGUUAUGCGCAUGGAUGGACUAACGAGAUUCCCACUGUCCCUGUCUACUAUCCAGCGAAACC